rnacentral:rRNA from 1 species
GACGAACGCUGGCGGCGUGCUUAACACAUGCAAGUCGAACGCUGAAGCUUGGUGCUUGCACUGGGUGGAUGAGGGGCGAACGGGUGAGUAAUACGUGAGUAACCUGCCCUUGACUCUGGGAUAAGCCUGGGAAACGGGGUCUAAUACUGGAUACGACAUGUCACCGCAUGGUGGUGUGGGGAAAGGGUUUUACUGGUUUUGGAUGGGCUCACGGCCUAUCAGCUUGUUGGUGGGGUAAUGGCUCACCAAGGCGACGACGGGUAGCCGGCCUGAGAGGGUGACCGGCCACACUGGGACUGAGACACGGCCCAGACUCCUACGGGAGGCAGCAGUGGGGAAUAUUGCACAAUGGGCGGAAGCCUGAUGCAGCGACGCCGCGUGAGGGAUGACGGCCUUCGGGUUGUAAACCUCUUUCAGCACGGAAGAAGCGAAAGUGACGGUACGUGCAGAAGAAGCGCCGGCUAACUACGUG